CACGUAGUUAGCCGGUGCUUCUUAUCAAGGUACCGUCAGCCUCACUCUAUAUUAGAGAGUAAGUUUUCUUUCCUUGCGAAAGAGCUUUACAACCCGAAGGCCUUCUUCACUCACGCGGCAUGGCUGGAUCAGGCUUGCGCCCAUUGUCCAAAAUUCCCCACUGCUGCCUCCCGUAGGAGUCUGGGCCGUGUCUCAGUCCCAGUGUGGCUGAUCAUCCUCUCAGACCAGCUACUGAUCGUCGCCUUGGUAGGCUUUUACCCACCAACUAGCUAAUCAGAUAUCGGCCGCUCCAUUAACGCUAGGUCCGAAGAUCCCCAGCUUUCCCCUCAGGGCGUAUGCGGUAUUAGCUAAUCUUUCGACUAGUUAUCCCCCAUUAUUGGACACGUUCCGAUAUGUUACUCACCCGUUCGCCACUCGUCAGCAGAGAAGCAAGCUUCUCUCUGUUACCGUUCGACUUGCAUGUGUAAAAGCAUGCCGCCAGCGUUCAA
rnacentral:rRNA from 1 species